GCUCUUUAGCUUUAGGCUUACCAGUCUUAGCCUAGUCGGGCGAUUAGCCAGACUCAAAUUUAUUGAACG
rnacentral:sRNA from 1 species